AGAGUUUGAUUAUGGCUCAGGAUGAAUGCUGGCGGCAUGCCUAAUACAUGCAAGUCGAGCGGUAACAGGACUAGCUUGCUAGUGCUGACGAGCGGCGGACGGCUGAGUAACGCAUGGGAACGCACCCCAAACUGAGGGAUAACUAGUCGAAAGAUUAGCUAAUACCGCAUGUGAUCUUCGGAUUAAAGCCUUCGGGCGGUUUGGGAGCGGCCUGUGUACGAUUAGAUAGUUGGUGAGGUAAUGGCUCACCAAGUCGACGAUCGUUAGAUGGUUUGAGAGGAUGAUCAUCCAGACUGGAACUGAGACACGGUCCAGACUCCUACGGGAGGCAGCAGUAGGGAAUCUUUCACAAUGGGCGAAAGCCUGAUUGGAGCAAUGCCGCGUGCAGGACGAAGGCCUUCGGGUUGUAAACUGCUUUUAUAAGCGAGGAAUAUGACGGUAACUUAUGAAUAAGGAUCGGCUAACUACGUGCCAGCAGCCGC
rnacentral:rRNA from 1 species